UGCUAAACUCUUUAGGACCUUGCCGAAA
rnacentral:sRNA from 1 species